UACAGAGGGGGCAAGCGUUAUUCGGAAUUAUUGGGCGUAAAGGGCUUGUAGGCGGCCAACUAAGUCAUACGUGAAAUCCCUCGGCUUAACCGGGGAACUGCGUCUGAUACUGGAUGGCUUGAGAUUGGGAGAGGGAUGCGGAAUUCCAGGUGUAGCGGUGAAAUGCGUAGAUAUCUGGAGGAACACCGGUGGCGAAGGCGGCAUCCUGGACCAACACUGACGCUGAGGAGCGAAAGCCAGGGGAGCAAACGGG
rnacentral:rRNA from 1 species